rnacentral:rRNA from 1 species
AGAGUUUGAUCCUGGCUCAGGAUGAACGCUAGCGGGAGGCCUAACACAUGCAAGCCGAGCGGUAGAUUACUUUCGGGUAAUUGAGAGCGGCGUACGGGUGCGGAACACGUGUGCAACCUGCCUUUAUCAGGGGGAUAGCCUUUCGAAAGGAAGAUUAAUACCCCAUAAUAUAUUAUUCGGCAUCGGGUGAUAUUGAAAACUACGGUGGAUAGAGAUGGGCACGCGCAAGAUUAGCUAGUUGGUGAGGUAACGGCUCACCAAGGCGACGAUCUUUAGGGGGCCUGAGAGGGUGAUCCCCCACACUGGUACUGAGACACGGACCAGACUCCUACGGGAGGCAGCAGUGAGGAAUAUUGGACAAUGGGUGGAAGCCUGAUCCAGCCAUCCCGCGUGCAGGAAGACGGCCCUGUGGGUUGUAAACUGCUUUUAUCUGGGGAUAAACCUACUUACGUGUAAGUAGCUGAAGGUACCAGAAGAAUAAGCACCGGCUAACUCCGUGCCAGCAGCCGCGGUAAUACGGAGGGUGCAAGCGUUAUCCGGAUUUAUUGGGUUUAAAGGGUCCGUAGGCGGACUGAUAAGUCAGUGGUGAAAUCCGACAGCUUAACUGUCGAACUGCCAUUGAUACUGUUAGUCUUGAGUAAGGUUGAAGUGGCUGGAAUAAGUAGUGUAGCGGUGAAAUGCAUAGAUAUUACUUAGAACACCAAUUGCGAAGGCAGGUCACUAAGUCUUAACUGACGCUGAUGGACGAAAGCGUGGGGAGCGAACACGAUUAGAUACCCUGGUAGUCCACGCCGUAAACGAUGAUUACUCGUUUUUGGGUUUUAUGAUUCAGAGACUAAGCGAAAGUGAUAAGUAAUCCACCUGGGGAGUACGUUCGCAAGAAUGAAACUCAAAGGAAUUGACUGGGGG